UUUGAACAAGAAUUUAGUAAUUAAUUCAAGGGUGGUAGAUAGUAUUUUUAGAUUAGAGGAAUAAAAGCAUUCCAAAAUAGAAAAAACCCUAUAAGUUUCUCCCCCUAUAUUUUAGCACUAAAGCAGCCGCCACCCAACCCUCAAAUCCUAUCUUCUCCAAUCAAUCACUGCCUAAACUGAAAGCCACCAAAUGCCACCACUAUCAGCCAGCUUCAACCAGAACUCUAGAGAACCACCUUGACAGACGUUCAAACGAACAUCCAUUUUUCAUAUCCAAACGCACACCACAAAACUCCGAAGACCCCAGAUCCCUUCACCUUUUUUUCCGACAUCAUAUGAAACCCCCCAAACCCCAAUUGUUCGCCUCCUUUUUACAUAUUCCAAUCCUAACACCAAUAGAACAAAAUCUAGCACACUAGACCAAAAUCCAAGCUCCACCUGAGACCACCAUAGAACAACAAACUACCGCCCCCCUUUUUCCCUUCAAGCUCCAUCACUAGCUCAUGAUUCAUGGAGCAGCCAACUUCAUGGAAAGCUCAACCAGCAUUCGAACCUCCGCGGACAACCUCACUAAACCAGAUCUCACCAUAAAUCUGAGCACCCAUGAAGACAACAUUGAGUUCCGUCAAUCAGGUUCCGGUUAGUCUAAAUUUUUGUAUUAUCAUAUAUUGAUACUUGGGUCAGUUUUAUUAUUUACUAUUAGUCACUUUUGUCUCUCUUUAUUAUUUAUUACUAUAAAAUUGUUUAUUGUUUAUGUUUUUGCUAAGUUGGUUUAGUUUUUUAAUAUAUUGUGUUAAAUAGUGUUUUUAUGUUGAUCAUAUUCUCCCUUGUGUAUUUGAUUUAUUUAGCUAUUUCUGUUGUUUUAUUUCUUUCAGUUCAUAUAUGGCCUUGGUGAAUAGAAAAUUUGUUAGCUUAGAUAUUUUAUGGUUGCCACAUUGAUUUUGGUAUUGUUACUUUAUUUAGUUUUAUAAUUUUAUUAUAGUUUUUGCUUGGUUUCUGUCCAUUUGUUAAUUUGGUUAUUGGUAUUAUGUUAAAACCAACCACUUGUUUAUCAUAUUUAGUUAUUAAUUUCACGUUGUUUUGUCUCUUUUCAUUAAUUUUCUUAAUGAGUUUUCUUAAUGUGUAUUUCUCAUAUAGGUUGUCUUUUGAUUGUUUGUGUGGUUCACAUAAUCUUUGGAAUAUAAAUUUAAUACCCUCGUUUAUUAUUAUUAGUCCUGUUAUUAUUUUAACGGUUGGUGUUGUUAGACUUUUUGUGUUUUAGAAAAUUCCUUUGAUAGUCAAAAUUAGCCAAUAAAAAAAUAUUUCAAUUGGCUUUCAAGACCUCCAUAUUAUAAAGAUGAAAAUUUUGUUUAGAUUUUUAUAUUUUGUAUGUUAAAAUUGGAUCAAUGGAGAAAUUAUAAUCGAUUUUCAAGGUCUUCCAAGUUAAUAAGACGGGUUUUUAUUUUGAAAAUUAUUUUUUAAUUUCAUUUAUUAUUAUUCAUAUUCAUUUAGUAUUAACACUUUUACUCAGUGUCUUUACAGGUACCCGAGGUUGCUUCUUUUUGAAUCAAUUUGAAUGGAGAUCAAAGGGGUGAGAAAAUACCGAUGGUACAAUAUGGAGGAAUCGGGUGUUAUUAAUGUCAGGGCUAUUAUUGACUCAUCCGGAGAGUGUGUCGAUGGAGGCCAUACACCUUGGCUGUGGAAGGUUAGUAGAUUGUCAUGUUUUAUAAGGAUAAAGAAGACUGGACAAUGGCCGGAGGGAAACAUUUAGAUAUAAAAUGGGGUCUCUAGUUCCAUGCUUAAGGGCAUAUGUGCUUGUUGGUUUUGAUUGUCAAGAGUGAUAACGACCAAAUCGGUAGCAAUGCAUUUUGGAUAUGAUCAAGACUUCGCUCAAUAAAUUUCUAAGUUGCCUUCAAAUCCAAAUCAUGCCUCGUACAACCAAAGAUGCUCUAUCAAUUCUAAUUUGAGGUUAUACUAUUCAUCUAGGCUGUAUGAACCGGAUGUAACUACACAGUAUUUGAAAUGAUGGAGAAACAAAACUAAUCGGGAUGUUUGUAAUAGUCUUCCUAAUCUAUAUAGAGAUUUUCAAGUAGAGAAUUACCCUGAAGUUCAUCCAA